rnacentral:rRNA from 1 species
UGGCUGUCGUCAGCUCGUGUCGUGAGAUGUUGGGUUAAGUCCCGCAACGAGCGCAACCCCUGUCCCAUGUUGCCAGCGCGUGAUGGCGGGGACUCAUGGGAGACUGCCGGGGUCAACUCGGAGGAAGGUGGGGACGACGUCAAGUCUUCAUGCCCCUUAUGCCCAGGGCUUCACACAUGCUACAAUGGCUCGUACAGAGGGCUGCGAGACCGUAAGGUGGAGCGAAUCCCUUAAAGCGAGUCUCAGUUCGGAUCGGGGUCUGCAACUCGACCCCGUGAAGUCGGAGUCGCUAGUAAUCGCAGAUCAGCAACGCUGCGGUGAAUACGUUCCCGGGCCUUGUACACACCGCCCGUCACGUCAUGAAAGUUGGUAACACCCGAAGCCCGUGGCCUAACCGGUU